UUUCCGUAGGUGAACCUGCGGAAGGAUCAUUAAAAAAUGUGGUACCAAUUGUUGGUACUAAUUAAUCAUCCUACCCUUUGUGAAUUUGUUUGUAUGAAUUUUUUUAAAUGGGUCUUUCCCUAAGUUGGAUUGUUAGUAAAAUACAAAAAGACUUAGGGGAAUGACUUUUUUAAAAGACUUUUUUUUAAUUAAAACUUUUUGUAUUCAUUUGUCUAAAAUUUAUUUUUAUAAUAUAAAAACAACUUUUGACAAUGGAUCUCUUGGUUCUCGCAACGAUGAAGAACGCAGCAAAAUGCGAUAAGUAGUGUGAAUUGCAGAAUACGUGAAUCAUCGAAUCUUCGAACGCAUAUUGCACUUUUUUAGUUUACUAAAAAAGUAUGUCUGUUUGAGUAUCAGUAAAAUAUUCUCACAAACAUAUAUUGUUUGUGGUUAUGAGUGUUUUACAACGAUAAACAAGUUGUUUCACUUUAAAUUCUUUUAUUGAAUUUUUACCAAUUCAUAAAUUAAAAUUGGAUAAAAUUUUCCUUUAACGAGGAAUAACCUAAACAAUUUUAAAUUUUAUGGAUUAAUAAACAUCCAUCAAGGAAUCUAUUAUACAUAAAUAACUUGAUCUCAAAUCAGAUAAGAGUACCCGCUGAACUUAAGCAUAUCAAUAAGCGGAGGAAAAGAAACUAACAAGGAUUCCCUUAGUAACGGCGAGUGAAGCGGGAAGAGCUCAAAUUUGAAAUCUUCAAGGUUUGACCUUGACGAAUUGUAGUUUAUAGAAGUGUUUUCUGUUGGAGUUUUGGUAAAAGUUCUUUGGAAUAGGACAUCAUAGAGGGUGAGAAUCCCGUAUUUGACCAUGACUUUCCAGCUGUGUGAUACACUUUCAAAGAGUCGGAUUGUUUGGGAAUGCAGUCCAAAAUGGGUGGUAAAUUUCAUCUAAAGCUAAAUAUUGGCGAGAGACCGAUAGCGAACAAGUACCGUGAGGGAAAGAUGAAAAGAACUUUGAAAAGAGAGUUAAACAGUACGUGAAAUUGUCAAAAGGGAAGCGUUUGACACCAGUGUUGUUUUCUCGAAAAUCAAUUUAAUGAGUUCUUGUUUUUAAGUUAUUGUGACUUUAUCAGCGCAUUUCUUAUUUUACUUGACUCAUUGAAUGCACUUUUCGUUUAACAAGUCAACAUCAAUUUCUUUGGUGGUAAAAAGUUUAAAGGAAGGUGGCUUGGACUUCGGUUCAAGUGUUUAUAGCCUUUUUUCUAUGCCAUCGGAGAGAUUGAGGUCUGCAGCGUAGAUCCUUCGGGGUUAGAUACUUUGUGCUAAGUUAUAGUUUUUUAUAGACAACUUGUUGACUAUAAUUAACCCUGUAAUUUACUCGCUUAGGCUAUUUUACCUACGCUUAGGAUGUUG
rnacentral:misc_RNA from 1 species